rnacentral:rRNA from 1 species
GCUAGUAAUCGCAGAUCAGCAUGCUGCGGUGAAUACGUUCCCGGGUCUUGUACACACCGCCCGUCACACCAUGGGAGCCGGGAAUGCCCGAAGUCAGCGGCCCAACCGAAAGGAGGGAGCUGCCGAAGGCAGGCCUGGUGACUGGGGUGAAGUCGUAACAAGGUAAC